CGUCUGCUGUGAAAAUCUGAGGCUCAACCUCGGACUUGCAGUGGGUACGGGCAGACUAGAGUGCGGUAGGGGAGAAGGGAAUUCCUGGUGUAGCGGUGGAAUGCGCAGAUAUCAGGAGGAACACCAAUGGCGAAGGCACUUCUCUGGGCCGUAACUGACGCUGAGGAGCGAAAGCGUGGGGAGCGAACAGGAUUAGAUACCCUGGUAGUCCACGCCGUAAACGUUGGGCGCUAGAUGUGGGUCACAUUCCACGUGAUCCGUGUCGCAGCUAACGCAUUAAGCGCCCCGCCUGGGGAGUACGGCCGCAAGGCUAAAACUCAAAGGAAUUGACGGGGGCCCGCACAAGCGGCGGAGCAUGCGGAUUAAUUCGAUGCAACGCGAAGAACCUUACCAAGGCUUGACAUGUAGAGGAAAACUGCAGAAAUGUAGUCCCCCGCAAGGGUCUCUAUGCAGGUGGUGCAUGGUUGUCGUCAGCUCGUGUCGUGAGAUGUUGGGUUAAGUCCCGCAACGAGCGCAACCCUCGUCCUAUGUUGCCAGCACGUAAAGGUGGGAACUCAUGGGAGACUGCCGGGGUCAACUCGGAGGAAGGUGGGGAUGACGUCAAAUCAUCAUGCCCCUUAUGUCUUGGGCUUCACGCAUGCUACAAUGGCCGGUACAAAGGGCUGCAAUACCGUAAGGUGGAGCGAAUCCCAAAAAGCCGGUCUCAGUUCGGAUUGAG
rnacentral:rRNA from 1 species